rnacentral:rRNA from 1 species
UACGUAGGGGGCUAGCGUUGUUCGGAAUCACUGGGCGUAAAGGGCGCGUAGGCGGCCGAUCAAGUCGGGGGUGAAAGCCUGUGGCUCAACCACAGAAUUGCCUUCGAUACUGUUUGGCUUGAGACCGGAAGAGGUUAGUGGAACUGCGAGUGUAGAGGUGAAAUUCGUAGAUAUUCGCAAGAACACCAGUGGCGAAGGCGGCUGACUGGUCCGGUACUGACGCUGAGGCGCGAAAGCGUGGGGAGCAAACAGG